GCGGCCUAUCAGCUUGUUGGUGAGGUAAUGGCUCACCAAGGCAACGACGGGUAGCCGGCCUGAGAGGGCGACCGGCCACACUGGGACUGAGACACGGCCCAGACUCCUACGGGAGGCAGCAGUGGGGAAUAUUGGGCAAUGGAGGGAACUCUGACCCAGCGACGCCGCGUGCGGGAUGAAGGCCUUCGGGUUGUAAACCGCUUUCAGCAAGGAAGAAGCGAAAGUGACGGUACUUGCAGAAGAAGCACCGGCUAACUAUGUGCCAGCAGCCGCGGUAAUACAUAGGGUGCAAGCGUUGUCCGGAAUUAUUGGGCGUAGAGAGCUCGUAGGUGGUUCGUCACGUCGGAUGUGAAAAUCUGGGGCUUAACCCCAGACCUGCAUUCGAUACGGGCGAGCUAGAGUGUGGUAGGGGAGACUGGAAUUCCU
rnacentral:rRNA from 1 species